GAUGAACGCUGGCGGCGUGCCUAAUACAUGCAAGUCGAGCGAACGGACGAGAAGCUUGCUUUUCUGAUGUUAGCGGCUGACGGGUGAGUAACACGUGGAUAACCUACCUAUAAGACUGGGAUAACUUCGGGAAACCGGAGCUACUACCGGAUAAUAUUUUGAACCGCAUGGUUCAAAAGUGAAAGACGGUCUUGCUGUCACUUAUAGAUGGAUCCGCGCUGCAUUAGCUAGUUGGUAAGGUAACGGCUUACCAAGGCAACGAUGCAUAGCCGACCUGAGAGGGUGAUCGGCCACACUGGAACUGAGACACGGUCCAGACUCCUAAGGGAGGCAGCAGUAGGGAAUCUUCCGCAAUGGGCGAAAGCCUGACGGAGCAACGCCGCGUGAGUGAUGAAGGUCUUCGGAUCGUAAAACUCUGUUAUUAGGGAAGAACAUAUGUGUAAGUAACUGUGCACAUCUUGACGGUACCUAAUCAGAAAGCCACGGCUAACUACGUG
rnacentral:rRNA from 1 species